rnacentral:rRNA from 1 species
AUUGAACGCUGGCGGCAGGCUUAACACAUGCAAGUCGAGCGGGGGAAGGUAGCUUGCUACCGGACCUAGCGGCGGACGGGUGAGUAAUGCUUAGGAAUCUGCCUAUUAGUGGGGGACAACAUCUCGAAAGGGAUGCUAAUACCGCAUACGUCCUACGGGAGAAAGCAGGGGAUCUUCGGACCUUGCGCUAAUAGAUGAGCCUAAGUCGGAUUAACUAGUUGGUGGGGUAAAGGCCUACCAAGGCGACGAUCUGUAGCGGGUCUGAGAGGAUGAUCCGCCACACUGGGACUGAGACACGGCCCAGACUCCUACGGGAGGCAGCAGUGGGGAAUAUUGGACAAUGGGGGGAACCCUGAUCCAGCCAUGCCGCGUGUGUGAAGAAGGCCUUAUGGUUGUAAAGCACUUUAAGCGAGGAGGAGGCUACUCUAGUUGAUACCUAGGGAUAGUGGACGUUACUCGCAGAAUAAGCACCGGCUAACUCUGUGCCAGCCGCCGCCGUAA